CUUAACCAUUUCUAAGAGACCCUUAAAAUCGACUGGAAAUGCCUCCCUCUAUCACCUCCUGAAAGGAUCCGGUCUACUUGCAAAUAACCCUGUAUAUUUCGUUUAUUUUAGGUGUUCUGAUCCCGUCCCGCAUGGGGAAGCACCCGGUGCUGUUAUACAAUAAUUAUUCAUACAAUUUCGUUAAUAACAAGACCGAAGAGAAACUUUGGUACUGCAUUAAGCGUGGCAGGCUGCAGUGUAAAGCUUACGUCAAAACGCACAAAGAAACUCCGGAGACUCCAUACGAAGUAAAUGAAGUACACAAUCACCAGCCUGCACGGUACCACAUCACUAAGACAGGACAAUAUAUCCUGAUUUGAAUUUCAGUCUCAAUGAAGACAUAACAUCUGUAAAUAGAGGUCGUCUUAUACCGUCCAGACAUGGCAAGCACCCGGUAUUAUUGUACAAUCGCUACCCAUACCAGCACGUGAACAGUGGAACAAAAGAGAAGCUACUGUGGUACUGUAUUAAACGUGCCAAGCUGCAGUGUAAAGCUUAUAUCAAAAGCAACAAAGAAACCCCGGAAACUCCAUUCGAAGUAAAUGAAGUACACAACCACCAGCCUUCACAGUACCACGUCACAAAAGAAGGAAAAUAUAUCAUAAUAUGAAUAUCGAUUUCGAUGAAGACAUAACGUAGUUAUUGGUGGUAUAAAUUUGUAAGAAGAGUCUACAUACAUUAAUAAAUAAUUAUAUUACACAGGAAAUCAA